rnacentral:tRNA from 1 species
UUUUAAUAGCUUAAUUAGAGCAUAAUAUUGAAGAUAUUAAGGAGAUCUUUGAUCUUAAGAUA